AUUAAAGUGGUACGUGAGCUGGGUUCAGAACGUCGCGAGACAGUUCGGUCUCUAUCUGCUGUGGGCGUAGGAGAUUUGAAGAGGGCUGUCCUUAGUACGAGAGGACCGGGAUGGACGAACCUCUUGUGUUCCAGUUGUCUUGCCAAAGGCACGGCUGGGUAGCGAAGUUCGGUUGUGAUAACCGCUGAAUGCAUAUAAGCGGGAAGCACGCUCUAAGAUGAGAUCUCCCAACCCGUAAGGGAAAUGAAGGGCCCAGGAAGACCACCU
rnacentral:rRNA from 1 species